AGAAUCCUAGGAGGUAAUAGUAUUUCACCUCCACUCUGUAGAAGAGGGAACUGGCACGGAGAGGCAGUGGACCCUCUCCUCCUGCAGAAGGGGGAUUUGAUUACUUUCAGAGGGAAAACGAGGGCUCGGACUCAGCAACGGAGAAGACCCAUGGGCAGAGGAUGUCACUGAGCGGCGGUAGCCACUGACGUAGGAGAGACCAACCCUCCAGCCCCGCCCCGAAUCAGGCAAGCCAAUUCAGCUCCCCGCGUCGUCAUGGCAACACUCCGCACAUGCGCCUCUUACACCCGGACCUGGCCUGGUGGCUCUCAUCAAAGCCAAGAGCGUUCUGCCAUCUCCCACCCCGUGCCGGUGCCCAGCCAUGGCCAGACCACCCGCCCCUGGCUCAGUGAUUGUCCCCGACUGGCACGAAAGCGCCGAGGGCAAGGAGUGCCUGACCUGCCUCCUGCGCAAGAACCGCCGGCGGGUGUUUGGGCUGCUCGAGCGACCAGUGCUGCCCCCAGCCGUGGCCAUUGACACGGCCAGCUACAAGAUCUUCGUGUCCGGGAAGAGUGGUGUGGGCAAGACGGCGCUGGUGGCCAAGCUCGCUGGCCUGGAGGUGCCCGUGGUACACCAUGAGACCACUGGCAUCCAGACCACCGUGGUAUUUUGGCCUGCCAAGCUGCAGGUCAGUGAGCGUGUCGUCAUGUUCCGCUUUGAGUUCUGGGACUGCGGGGAGUCUGCGCUCAAAAAGUUCGACCACAUGCUGCCGGCUUGCCAGGAGAAGACGGACGCUUUCCUCUUCCUCUUCUCUUUCACCGACCGUGCCUCCUUCGAAGACCUCCCUGGACAGCUGACCCGCAUAGCAGGCGAGGCCCCUGGUGUCGUCAGGAUGGUCGUUGGCUCCAAGUUUGACCAGUACAUGCACACGGACGUGCCUGAGCGUGACCUCACAGCCUUCCGGCAGGCCUGGGAACUGCCCCUCCUGCGGGUGAAGAGUGUGCCAGGGCGGCGGCUGGCAGAUGGGCGCACGCUGGAUGGGCGGGCUGGGCUGGCUGACGUUGCCCAUGUGCUCAAUGGCCUGGCGGAGCAGCUGUGGCACCAGGACCAGGUGGCAGCUGGCCUGAUUCCCAACCCUACAGAGAAUGCCCCCGGCUGACAUGAGUGGGCACCUGUGGUCCUUACUCCUGACUCUCAGGUGACCCAGAGCAGGGGAUGGGACCCAGGACCUAGGGCUUGGUCAGGAACCUUGAUCUCAUCAUGAGGACUGGUCAGGGAGGACGGUGGCCUGUGAAGACUCUGCCCCAGCAGCACUUUCCUUGCAGAAUUCAUAGCAUGAGGUGCGGGCACAAGGCUUUGUGGGGCAGUGGUUUGAGGUCCUCUGGCCUUCUCCCUUGGCCCUGGGGGCCCAGGCUCUGGAAACUGAAGAACUGCAUGGGCAGGGCCCCAGGACUCCAGCAUCUCCCCAACCUCCUGCUGUCCCUCUCCUUCUGCAGCACAUAGGGAAGAUAAUAUGACUGGGGAGAGAGGGGGUCUCAGCUGGACCCUGGACCUCUGUGACUUCAAUCAAGAGCCCGUAUUACAGAGUGGGGCAAAAGUGGAAAUGAAGGUGGCUUUGGGGUCUUGGCUCCGUGCAUUCACUCAGAGACCCAGGCUCUGAGAUCUUCAACAUAUGGCUUCCCAGUUUGCCCUGGGGCAUCACCAUCCAGUGAGCAGACCACUCCCGUUGACCUUACCCCACCACAGCAGCAGCCAAUUGUGGGAGUGGCCCCGGUGAAGGCGGCCUCUGGGCCUGAACAUGAGCCUCCAGCUACAGGUCCCUGUGUUGUGAGCAGCAGCUACCUCACACCCCAGCCAGUUACCUCUGGGCUGGCCAGGGGCACAUGGUUGGUAUCAGGGGAAGGUGGGUUGAGGACAGAGCAUAUGGGCUGACUCGAUGGCUUGGGCCAGCCCCCUUGCACCCAAUAGCACUGUGGCCAGCUCUGCCCUUUGCCCAGAGACGUACAGAAUCCAGACCCUCCCUGGAGAUGCCUUCACUUUCAAAGUCUUCAUCUUCCAGCCCUGCAAGCUCUCCGCAGCGCCUUCCCCUGGGAUUGCCACGUCUCCUGUGCCAGCAGGAACAGCACAGCCUGGCGACCGCCCCUCCAGCCUACCUUGCCCAGGGCAACCACGCCCCCCAGCAGGGGAGGGAACCUCACUCUCUUCUAUUGGAAGCUGCUGGCUGUGCGUCAUCAGGGCUUCAUCAUCACCUCCGAGGUAGCCUCAGCGUCGGACAGACCAGGGUUCAAGUUCAGGCUCUGCCGCCGACGGGCUGCACAUGGGAAAUAUUACAGAAUAGGAUAUUUAAUCGGAUCGUUACGAAGAUUCAGUGUCAAGCACUUGCACAUCGUACGUGCUCCGUGAGUCAGUAUCACCACCACCACCACUGUUAUCUCUUGGCAACAGACUGGAGGAAGCGGGGAGCAUGUCCCUCAGCCUUGCUCCAGGCCCCCUUUUCCUAGCCCUGCCUCUCACAGGGUCCUGGUGUCAAGGGGCUCUAAUUAAACCUCUGUCUCUGGA